rnacentral:pre_miRNA from 17 species
CGGCGAAUUACAGGGCGGUUUCUCCUUUGGCACGUACGGAGGCAAGGCAUGCGGUGAAAAAUCUCUAGCUAGCCAUGCGUGCCAAAGGAGAAUUGCCCUGCGAUUCACCA